GAUGAACGCUAGCUACAGGCUUAACACAUGCAAGUCGAGGGGAAACGAUAUUGGAAGCUUGCUUCCGAUAGGCGUCGACCGGCGCACGGGUGAGUAACGCGUAUCCAACCUGCCCACCACUUGGGGAUAACCUUGCGAAAGUAAGACUAAUACCCAAUGACGUCUCUAGAAGACAUCUGAAAGAGAUUAAAGAUUUAUCGGUGAUGGAUGGGGAUGCGUCUGAUUAGCUUGUUGGCGGGGUAACGGCCCACCAAGGCAACGAUCAGUAGGGGUUCUGAGAGGAAGGUCCCCCACAUUGGAACUGAGACACGGUCCAAACUCCUACGGGAGGCAGCAGUGAGGAAUAUUGGUCAAUGGACGAGAGUCUGAACCAGCCAAGUAGCGUGCAGGAUGACGGCCCUAUGGGUUGUAAACUGCUUUUAUAAGGGAAUAAAGUGAGUCUCGUGAGGCUUUUUGCAUGUACCUUAUGAAUAAGGACCGGCUAAUUCCGUGCCAGCAGCCGCCGUAA
rnacentral:rRNA from 1 species